rnacentral:sRNA from 1 species
AUAAUGCACUCACAGGGGGGAUGAGAAGCCCCGACCGGGGUUCGACAACUGGCGCAGCCAGUUGGACAGACCACGAACGCAGUGAGUGGGCUGCCCGCAGGGCGAGCGAAGCGAGUCAAUCCCCCCCUCACCGCCA